GCGGUGAAGGAGCUCCAGACGUCGGCCAGAGGCCAUCAUCCUGCUGAAGGCCAUGAUCGAGGAGGUCAGAGAGUAUGUUGAUGAGGAGGAGUGCGCAAUCAGCACUAUUUUCAACAAAGUGCAGAUCAACACAGAGUAUCGGUCCGAGUUUAUUUAUUGCCUUGAGUCUCUCUGUUACUGCUGGGCUAAAGACGCUCCGUGUCCAUUGCCGGGAGUGUCGGGAUGGAGUUUGGGCAAUGCCAGCAGACUGUGAGUCAUAUUUCACCCCUACCAUAUGGAAAUUGUGCAGA
rnacentral:lncRNA from 13 species